rnacentral:rRNA from 1 species
AUCAUGGCUCAGAACGAACGCUGGCGGCAUGCCUAACACAUGCAAGUCGAACGAGACCUUCGGGUCUAGUGGCGCACGGGUGCGUAACGCGUGGGAAUCUGCCCUUGGGUUCGGAAUAACAGUUAGAAAUGACUGCUAAUACCGGAUGAUGUCUUCGGACCAAAGAUUUAUCGCCCAGGGAUGAGCCUGCGUAGGAUUAGCUAGUUGGUGGGGUAAAGGCCUACCAAGGCGACGAUCCUUAGCUGGUCUGAGAGGAUGAUCAGCCACACUGGGACUGAGACACGGCCCAGACUCCUACGGGAGGCAGCAGUGGGGAAUAUUGGACAAUGGGCGAAAGCCUGAUCCAGCAAUGCCGCGUGAGUGAUGAAGGCCUUAGGGUUGUAAAGCUCUUUUACCCGGGAUGAUAAUGACAGUACCGGGAGAAUAAGCCCCGGCUAACUCCGUG